rnacentral:misc_RNA from 1 species
UGUUUUUAUUUUUCUUUCUUUUCAUCAACAAUAAUCUCUGAAUCUUCAGUUUCAUCCAUGGAUACUGCUCAGUGGCCACAGGAGAUAAUGGUGAAACCAAUAGAAGAGAUAGUCACAAAUACAUGCCCAAAGCCUGCAGCUUUGGAGAGGAAGGCCAGACCUCAAAAAGAGCAAGCCUUGAACUGUCCAAGGUGCAAUUCAACCAACACUAAGUUCUGUUACUAUAACAACUACAGUCU